AUUGAACGCUGGCGGAAUGCUUUACACAUGCAAGUCGAACGGUAGAGGGGGCGACCCCUCGAGAGUGGCGUACGGGUGAGUAAUAUAUCGGAGCAUGCCCAGUCGUGGGGGAUAACGUAGCGAAAGUUACGCUAAUACCGCAUACGAUCUAAGGAUGAAAGCGGGGGAUAGAAAGACCUCGCGCGAUUGGAGCGGCGGAUAUCAGAUUAGGUAGUUGGUGGGGUAAAGGCUCACCAAGCCAACGAUCUGUAGCUGGUCUGAGAGGACGACCAGCCACACUGGAACUGAGACACGGUCCAGACGCCUACGGGAGGCAGCAGUGGGGAAUUUUGGACAAUGGACGCAAGUCUGAUCCAGCCAUUCCGCGUGCAGGAUGAAGGCCCUCGGGUUGUAAACUGCUUUUGUACGGAACGAAAAGGUCUCUCUUAAUACGGGGGACUCAUGACGGUACCGUAAGAAUAAGCACCGGCUAACUACGUGCCAGCCGCCGCCGUAAAAC
rnacentral:rRNA from 1 species